UCUGCGCAGUUUGCAUCCCGUUUCACUUCGGAGAGAAAAACAAACAAAAUGCGAAUGCGACAGCACGCACCGUGGAACUCCCGGGCCGGAGCGCCGAUGCUGCCGCGGGAAACAGCGCUUGUGCGCGAGUACGGCGACCGGCGGCGGAGCGGGAACCGCCUCUCGUGCUCGAAGCAGUCGGUCAAGUCGCCGUUUGCCGCACCGGGGAUCACCAAUGCCCGCCAGCUGUUCGCUCUUUUGCUCGAGACGGGAAAAACUAGUUAUGUGUGGAAAUGGGGUUGACACCUUACCAGAACGAGAUCCGAGUCUCGCAAGAACUCUAGCUGAUGGGUAACAUACAUGACUGUCUUAGAGGACAUUAGUCUCAAUUGCUCAUGGUUUACGUACCUUGAAGAGAUGUGCGCUGGUGUGCGCAUCCACAGCACUGAAGGGGUCAUCCAAGAAGUAAACAUCAGAAUCGCUGUACAAUGCCCUGGCAAGCUGGAUCCUCUGCUUCUGGCCUCCACUU